rnacentral:lncRNA from 1 species
CUGGCUAAGUGCCCGCCCGGCCGCGUUCCAGGACACCUGGCCGGGACAGAGCGAAUGCCAGUGAAUCCCAGGGCGCCCUCUCCCGCGCGUUGGUUCUCUAGCCCUCCUUCCCUGGGAGGGGUGGGAUUGGGAGUGUUCUGUUUUCAUUACUGCACCCCUUCCCCUAAAGACAACGGGACUGCCCUCCUCCACAGCGCCUUACCUCAAACAGGGGACCGAUCUUGUUCUUCUCCAGAUAGUGCCUCUUAUGCUUAUGCUGCAAUUAAGCAACUUGUGGAAGAGGCUUAUGUGGUGACAUUAGGAAAAAAGGUUGGACACCUAAUUUGCACAUCAGGACUGCCAUGGACCAUGGUGCAAUGAAGGUGAAGACUGGAGCACUCAUCACCCACGGGUCUCACUUUGUUGCCCAGGCUGGAGUAUAGUGCCCUGAUCACAGCUUGCUGCAACCUCAAGCUCCCAUGCUCAAGCAAGCUUCCUGCCUCAACUUCCCAAGUAGCUGAGACCACAGGCAUGCUCCAUGACACCUGAACUCCUGAACUCAAGCGAUCCUCCUGCCUCAGCCUUCCAAAGUGCUGGGAUUACAGGCAUGAGCCCCUGAACCCUGCCUACCCUCUGUUUCUAUGUGGUGUUUGUCUUUCUAAGCCUGGCCUAUUUCGUGUAACAUAAUUUCCUCCAGAUUUAUCCAUAUUGUCUCAAAUGACCAGAUUUCUUUCUUUUUUAAGGCUGAAUAGUAUUCCAUUGUACAUAUAUACUACAUUUUAUUUAUCCAUUCAUCUGUUGAUGGACACUUAGGUUGAUUCCAUAUCUUGGCUAUUGUGAAUAAGCUGCAAUGAACAUAGGAGUGCAGAUACUGCUUUGACAUAUUCAUUUCAUUUUCUUUGGAUAUGUAUCCAGAAGUGGAAUUGGGCUGGAAUAUAGGCAGUUCUAUUUUUAAUAUUUUGAGGAAACUCCAUAUUACUUUCCAUAAUAGCUGUGCUAAUUUACAUUCCCACCGCCAAUGUAUAAGGGCUUCCUUUUCUCCACAUCCUCUCCAACACUGGUUAUCUCUUGUCUUUUUGAUAUGUUUUCUCUUCUCUGUAAAGCUAUUGGUUGUAGCAUUUUACUUUUUCCAAAUUUUUUUAAUCAAACUUUUGAAAUGUAUAGCUGAAAUGAAAGAAUUUUAGCAUGAAUGCUAAUAUACACUCAGCACCUAUAUUCUUGCUUUUUCAUGUAUUUACUCCUGAAUUAAUAUAUUACUUGUUAUAUGCUUUUGAAAGUAAACUGCAAACAAGUGCAUGCUUCUCCUAGAUCUUUCCACAUGCUCUGCCAUUAAUUAGAGUUCAAUGUUCAAUUUUUUCCUUUUGAUGUACAAUUAAUACACAAUUAAUUUACACACACAUUUUACUUAGUUCUGAAAAAUGUAUAUACUUUUAUAACUCAAAGCCCAUCAUUAUACAACAUUACUAUCACCCUAGCAAAAUCUUUUGUGUCCCUUCUCAAUCACCAAUCCUGACCACACCCCAAGAAAACUACUGUUCAAAUUUUUCUCCAUCAUUGAUUGGCUUUGUCUGUUUUAGAACUUCAUAAAACUAAAAUACUGUAGUAAAUUAUGUACAAUUUUAUGACUAGCUUCCUUUGCUCAAUAUAAUGUUUUCGAGAUUUAUUCAUAUUGCUGCAUGUCAGUAGUUGGUUCUUUUUAUUGCUGCAUAUUUCAUUGAAUAAAAAUGCCAAAGCUUGUUUAUUCAUUCUUGUCUCACAUCAAAGUAUCUG